GAGUUGUUGGUCUUCUACCCAGUAGUCGGUAGUCGUAAAUCCUGUUGGCCUGCUUUCCAGCAGUUUGUGGUUUGUUAUAAGCCCUAUUUUUGUUUCCCGUGCGGAUUCGUGUUUCGUUCUAUCCCCACACGGAGUUCGUGGUUUUCUACCCAUGUAUUCGGUAGAUGUAAACCCUAAUUUGUGGUUAUUCCCACCAGAGUAUGGCUACUACCCCGUAUUCGGUAGUUGUAAGUCCUAUCUUUUUUCCCCUAGCAUAGGUAACCUUUGUGGUUCGUUCUGGUUAAUGGUGGAAUUUCUGUUAUUGUGAUUUUUAUCCCCAACAAAAUUUGUGUUUCCCGAUGGAAUAAGUUGAAUAAGUGCUCAGUAUUUGGCAUUCAUUCACCCUAUCCCCAGUGGAGUUUUUGGUCUUCUACCCCGUAUUCGGUAGUUAUAAAUCCCAUGUUGUUUUGUUCUCCCCAUCGGAGUUUGUGCCUUAUGGUACAGUUGGAUAAUUGCCGGAUGCUUGCAAUUUUAUCCCAGCUGAGUCGUUGGUUUCUACCCAGUAGUCGGUAGUGUUAACCUCUUGUUUCCUCAGCCAGAUUUUUGGUAUUCUACCCCGUAUUACCGGAUGCUUGCAAUUUUAUCCCAGCUGAGUCGUUGGUUUCUACCCAGUAGUCGGUAGUGUUAACCUCUUGUUUCCUCAGCCAGAUUUUUGGUAUUCUACCCCGUAUUCGGUAGUUGUAAACCCUAAGUUCUCUCCUUUGCAGAGUCAACCUUGUUGUUCAUCCUAACCGAUGACGGUUACUCUUUAUGGUUAUCUUCAUUCAAUAUUUGAUGUUGAUAUUCCUCCCUUUGCUUGUGGAUAAUUGCCGUAUGCUAGCAAUUUAUCCUCAGCAAGUGUCUUCUGGAUCAUUGCCGUAUGCUCGCAAUGUUAUCCCUUUUGAAGUCGCCAUUGGGUCUUUUCACCGUUUGCUAGUGAUUUGUUCCCCGGAUCAUUGAUUUGUUUAUCAAUGUAUCCCCAGCUAGUCCCUGUGGAUAACUGCCAGAUGCUUGCAAUUCAUUCUCAGCGGAUCGCCUUUCAUUUACCCGUUUGCUCGGUAAUGAUCAUUGCUUCGUUGAUUGGUCAUCAUUAUAUACCUAGUUUUGGUAUCCCGAUGCCUUUCUUUUCGGUCGAUUUAUCCUUUGUUAACCCAGUAACCGGUUGUGGAUAAUCUUCCAUGCGAGUGUGUUAUCCACGUUCUGACAUUCUUUUCGGUCGAUUUAUCCUUUGUUAACCCAGUAACCGGUUGUGGAUAAUCUUCCAUGCGAGUGUGUUAUCCACGUUCUGACGGUAAUGGAUAAUAUAUCUCAUGCACUCUUCAGUCGAAGCCUUCUGUGUUUCCCUAGUCGAGUAAGAUUCGUUAUUUCCCUUUGCGGAGUCGAAUAUUUCUUUGUUGUUGGGAUAAUUGCCGGAUGCUUGCAAUUUAUCCCCUUUGAGUUGUCUUUCGUUUACCCGGAUGCUUGGUAUCGAUUGUCUUUCCUUUGGUUAGUCACCUAUUAUAUACUUCGGUAUCUCUGGUGCCUUUUCCUUUCGAGUGUGUUAUUCACGGUCUGCCGGUAAUGAAUAAUAUAUCUCUUGCGCUCUUUGGUUGGAAUCCUUUGUUGAUCUUCCCCAGUAGAGUAAGAUUCGUAUUCUUUGUAGAAUCGAAUGUCCAUCCUUUAACCAGUUUGUGUUUUGGAUGAUGCGUGUUUUGGCAUAUAUACCAAUUCACGUUUUCGGUAGAUCACCUAUUAUAUACUUCGGUAUCCCUGGUGUUUCUUAUCAAGCGAGUGUAUUAUCUACGGUCUGCCGGUAAUAGAUAAUAUAUCUCAUGCGAGUAUUCUAUCCACGUUCUGACGGUAAUGGAUAUUGUAUCUCAUGCGCUCUUUGGGUUUGUGUCCCCAGUUGAGUAAGAUUCGUUUGUCCCGUUGUGGAUUCGAAUGUCCAUCCUGUAAGUCGAUUUGCUUUUUCAAGCUCUCCUUUCGGAUGAUGAGUGUUUUGGCAUAUAUACCAAUUCACGUCUUUGGUUAGUCACCUAUUAUAUACUCCGGUAUCUCUGGUGUUUCUUCCUUUUCGAGUAUAUUAUUCACGGUCUGCCGGUAAUGAAUAAUAUGUCUCAUGCUCUUGGGUCAAUCUUCUGAUUGUUUCCUCUGCAGAGUAAGAUUCAUAUUCCUUGUGGAAUUGAAUAUCCAUCCUAUAAACAAGUCUGCUUUUCUAGCUUCCUUCAGGAUGAUGAGUGUCUUGGCAUAUAUACCAAUUCACGUUUCGGUCGGUCACCUACCUUGUGGAAUUGAAUAUCCAUCCUAUAAACAAGUCUGCUUUUCUAGCUUCCUUCAGGAUGAUGAGUGUCUUGGCAUAUAUACCAAUUCACGUUUCGGUCGGUCACCUAUUAUAUACCUCGGUAUCCCUGGUUUCCUUCCUUUCUGCUCCCUAUUAUGACCUCGGUCCCCUGUGGAGUCAGAUUUGCCUGAGUUUAUGUACCUUUUUCAGGUCUUCCUCAGAUGUUUGGAUUGAUUGAUAUCUCUCACCCUUAUACCGGUCUUAGAUAUUCAUUCUUCCUGAGUUUGUUGCCCUUAUACCGGUGACAUCUCAUCCUCGGUUUCCCCUGAAAAGUCUUUUCUAGAUUUCCCCAGCGGAGUUGUAUUGCUAUUUGUGUUGCUGUAUUGGCGUUUUCCCCAGUACAUGCAUUGUGUGAGUUAGCUUGAGUCAUUCCAAUGGAUUGUGUUUCCCCUGAAAUUUCGUUCUCUCCCCAGUUCGAGUCCUUUGCUUCCCCAGUGAGGUCUCCAGUCUGAUUUCUGUUAUCCCCUAAUCAGAGUCGUGUCUUGCACACGUUGUGUCAGUUUUGUUUUUCCCCAACUCGAAGUCGUGUCCUGCUCACGCAUUUCUUUUUCUUUUAUUAUCCCCAAUAAGAGUCCUGUUAGAGUCUCUGUUCCUGGUGAGUGUAUUACUCCGAUGGAUCGUCUUUUCUUCUGUGUGAAUUAUAUCCUCACAGAGUUUGUGUCUUUUACAUGCAUACAUUUGCAUCAUGAGGUCUCUUAGGGACCAAAAUUUGUCUCAUUACUGUUAUUUAAGUCCAUUCUACCGCGUCGAGAUGAAGAUUUCUAAACUUCACUUAUCUAAACUUCACUUCUCCGGAUAGAAUGACCUUAAAUAGGGGCAUCUGUAAGACCCCAAUUUUGGCCCUAAGAUCCCUCAUGGCCCAUAACAUCUCAUAUCAUGGCCUCAAGGAUCAUUGCAUACCCAUUGCUUCCCUCCUAGUGGGUGAGUUAUCUUGUGAGUGUGGUUCUUGAUCACCAAGCAUGUAUUGCACUUGUAUAUCAUUGCUUUUCAUAUGUUUACUAACCAAAAGUACAAAAAUAUUGUCAUCUAGCGACGAAUACACCGCUACACACCUCACAGUUGUUCACGAGUCUGAAGAUGUUCUUAUCAACCCCAUUGAAUAUAGCAUUCAAUGCUUUAGAGUUUCCAAGGGCUAGUUCAUCCCUUCCUUGGUCCAUUCUUCCUCAGCCAUCUUAUCAGUUGUAACUUCUCCUUCCAUAGUAAUAACGUGAUGUUCCCAGCCUAUUAGAACAACCUUCCAAGCCUUAUUAUCCAAAGAUUUUAGGAAGGCUACCAUUCGAGGUUUCAAGUAGUCAUAGUUAGAUCCAUCCAGAAUUGGUGGUCUGUGAAUAGAUCCUUUGUCUCUAUCCAUAGUCCCAGAAAGUAACAUCCCAAGAUCUCACCCAGAACCAGAGCAGGAUGCCUUCUCUAAUACCAAUUGAAAUUCUGGUAUUAGAUAUGAGAUGUCGAAGGUAAUGUCACGACACUAAUAUCUGAACAAUAUAAACAGGAUAAAAGAUAAAGAAACAAUAGUACAAGUUGUAAUACCCCAAAAUUUACCCUUCAUUUUUCCUGGAAGCAUGGGAUUAUGUUUUACACUUCAUUAGCAUCAUAUUAGGUCAUACUCAUUGCAUACUGCAUUAGUUACAUGGAGAUCAGGUUUUGAUCGAUCACUCCUUAACAGAAGGAGUCCAUUGAGAAUUGGACUUCAUUUUCCAAGUAUAUAAGUUUCAAGGGUCUCAGGGGGCUCCAAGUAUCUUAUUAUGGUCCUUAGUUCAUCAGUGAAGGAUUCAAAGCUAUCAGAGUGUUCAUCUGGAUUUAAUCAGAAAUUAGGGUUUCAUGGCUACCUGCAACAGGCAAUAUUUGGUUGGAAGUAGAGGAGCUCAUCCAGGUCAUGAUUAUAGAGGCAUCUUGGCCUAGGAAGAUUCACAAUUAUCUCAGAAAGACCCAUUGGCAAUCAGUGCAAUCAGUUCCUGAUCAUUUUGCCCUAAAACUAGGGUUUGGUAUAAAGUCAGUUUAUUUCUGAUUCUUUGGGUGAAACUCUUUUCCAUGGCCCUCCAUAUGUCCACAAGGGUCUACAUACAAAAAAUUAGCUCUUUAUUUGAGCUAGAAGUGCUUCAAUUGAUCAAUGGAAUCGGAUAUGUCCACAAGGGUCUACAUACAAAAAAUUAGCUCUUUAUUUGAGCUAGAAGUGCUUCAAUUGAUCAAUGGAAUCGGGAAUCAGACAGUUUGGGAAAAGUCAACUGUGGGGCCAGAAAAGUCAACUGUGGGGCCAGAAAAGUUAACUCCUGACAUUUUGAGAGUGGAAUCUCAAAAUCCACGCCUAGGCGAUCCUACAUGUGAAAUUUGAUCACAACUCUUCCCCUUAUCGUCCUAAGAUGAACGGUGCUGUUGAGGCAGCAAAUAAGAACAUAAAGAAGAUUGUGUAGAAGAUGGUCGUUACGUACAAAGAUUGGCAUGAGAUGCUACCCUUCGCCUUGCAUGGGUACCGUACUUCAGUACGUACAUCGACCGGGGAAACCCCUUACUCCCUUGUGUAUGGUAUGGAAGCAGUCCUACCUGUUGAAGUGAAGAUUCCUUCUCUAAGAGUCCUGCUGGAUGUCAAGUUAGACGAAGCUGAAUGGGUUCGAACAAGGUUCAAUGAGUUGAGUCUUAUCGAAGAGAAGCGAAUGGAAGCCAUUUGUCAUGGGCAGCUGUAUCAAAGUCGGAUGAAGAGAGCCUUUGAUCAGAAAGUGCAUCCUCGAUGCUUCCAAGUCGGAGAUUUGGUGUUGAAAAGGAUCCUUCCUCCUUAGACAUAUCACAGGGGCAAGUGGACUCUUAAUUAUGAUGGACCGUAUAUUGUCACCAAGGUUUUUGAUGGUGGAGCCUUAAUGCUUGCAACUAUGGAUGGUGAAAACUUCACUUCCCCUGUGAACUCAGACGCAGUUAAAAAAUACUUCGCAUAAAGGUGGAGCCUUAAUGCUUGCAACUAUGGAUGGUGAAAACUUCACUUCCCCUGUGAACUCAGACGCAGUUAAAAAAUACUUCGCAUAAAAUAGACCCGCUGGACGAUAAAAAGAAUAGUCCAGGCAAAUAAAUGGGCAUCCCGGCGAACCAAGAAAAUGAAAAAGGUUCAGGAAAAAGUUAGGGAUUAAAAAAUGAAAAGAUUGUACACCCGGUAAGUUGAAAACCUGAAAGGGCAACUUAGGCAAAAAUGGGUAUCCCAGUGGAUUGAAAACCCGAAAGGGCGAUCCAGGAAAAAGUUAGGGAUUAAGCGAAUGGUUGCAUUCUGAGUAGUUCUGAAUAUCAUCUCGUGUCGAUAACCGGAAACUUCCGAAGGAUAGGAAACAGUCCAAUCACCUUUUUCGGAAAGCUGAUCAUCUGGAGGAUCUUGAAAACGAGCGAAUCAUAGCAGAAUUGGAACCCGAUAGAAAUCCAUUUCACAUUGCCAUUAGAUUAAUUUUUGUUUUUAUCUGUUGUGCAAUUACCUCUUUCCAGGGAUUACUUCCUGAUGUAAAUACCUAUUCAGAGGCCACUCAAUCAUUAAAAUCACGUUAUUCAGUACACCUCGGUGUUCAUUUUCAUUUUACUGUUUUGUUUGCAAAAAUGACGUCCGAAUUUUUGAUAAACAUUGCAUCAUGAAACAUAAGAGCUUUACAGGUACGUGCUUAAUAAACAUUGAAAAUUGCUGUAAAUUUUAAGUGCUUUGGAUCGUCUAUUCAGAACAGGUACACUCGGGGCAUUUCCUUAAGGUCCCCAUCAAAUGAUCGCGAAUGUUUUUCCUCAACAGUUGGAAUUUGGUAUCUUAUCCCUGCAGAGCUGGUCCGAGCGUUGGAAUCUUCAAUCCCUAGCAGGCUCUCACUGCUAUACUUCCCCAAGCAUUUGUUUCAGAUUAUAAAUUCACCAGUAGAGUCGAUAGUGUCAGACUGUAUAUCCCCAGCGGAGUUGACAUUGUCAGACUGUAUAUCCCCAACGGAGUUGAAAGUGCCAGACUGUAUCUUCCCAGCAAAAGCGGCUGCUCCUCAGAGUUUGAUGCCAGAUCGAUGAUCUCGACCCUAGACCCAUGAUCUCUUUCCUUGAAGCAGAAUCUCGGUACCGUAUCGGUGUUUGCUUCCCCUGCUGAGUCGUCUCUCUCGCAGAUUACGGUUGCCAGAACCACUGUCGCUUUCCUCAACAGCAAUUUUUCAGUGGCAUUCUCUCCCCAGUCAGAGCCUCAAUAUUUUGUUAUUUUCCAGAACACCGUGUGGCAGCUCAUUUCCCCACAGAGUUCUUUGUGUUGUGCAUCUCAACCAGCCUUGCCAGGGUCCAGAAGAUGGUGAUCAUUUCCCCAGCAGAAUUCCUUGCCUCAGCUUGGCGUUCUCUCUAAUCAAACAUUUCGUAUCCCUGUAUGUAGAAUCAUAUUGCAUUGCAUCCUCCCAAAUUGCGUAGCAUUUCCAUUUUCAUGGAGCAUGACGCCAUUGAAAAAUUCAAACAUACGCAUGUAAAGCAUAAGGCAUUCUCGGUAUCCCAAGUGAUAAGCCAGAAGUUGUUUCCAGUACUCAAACUGAAGAUUGUUCAUGACUUAUCUUUAUUAUUCCCAAAAAUUCAAACAUACGCAUGUAAAGCAUAAGGCAUUCUCGGUAUCCCAAGUGAUAAGCCAGAAGUUGUUUCCAGUACUCAAACUGAAGAUUGUUCAUGACUUAUCUUUAUUAUUCCCAGCAGGGGUCUUUGGCCCACGCGCCGCCUCAAUUAUCAUUUUCCCUAUUUCUGCCGAUGCUGACAGGUAUAAAAGUUUCCAGUAUUCAGACCGAAGUGGCAUUCAGGCUAGUUUUCCGAUGUUCAGAUCGAAGAAGUUUCUGAAGUUCAGGUCGACGCAACUUGUGGCAUUUAGGCCAAGUUUCCGAUAUUCAGACCGAAGUGGCAUUCAGGCCAGUUUUCCGAUGUUCAGAUCGAAGAAGUUUCCGACGUUCAGAUCGAUGCAACUUGUGGCAUUCAGGCCAAGUUUCCGGUAUUCAGACCGAAGUGGCAUUCAGGCCAGUUUUCCGAUGUUCAUAUCGAAGAAGUUUCCGACAUUCAGGUCGAUGCAACUUGUGGCAUUCAGGCCAGUUUUCCGGUAUUCAGACUGAAGUGGCAUUCAGGCCAGUUUUCCGAUGUUCAGAUCGAAGAAGUUUCCGACAUUCAGGUCGAUGUAACUUGUGGCAUUCAGGGCAGUUUUCUGGUAUUCAGACCGAAGUGGCACUCAGGCCAGUUUCCCGGUGUUCAGACCGAUGUUUGAUAAUCAAGUAUCGUCCGAUGCUCAGAUCGAAGUCAUUUCCAGUAUUCAGAUUGAUGAGCGGCAUUCAGGCCAUGGUUAUUUCUGUGUUACCAUUUAUUUUGGUAUUCAGGCUAACAUUCCUUGUUUCGGUGUUCACACCGACUCUCACCGUACCAGACGAAUUCUUUUUCAAGACCACCUCUUGGCCGAUUCUGUCAGGCAUUGUUACUUCAUUUUUUCACUUCAGUGUAAAUUUUCGGGCUUUUAUCGUAUUCAAUCCCUUGAUACCUCGAAAGUGCCAAGUUUCCGAUAUUCAGACCGAAGUGGCAUUCAGGCCAGUUUUCCGAUGUUCAGAUUGAAGAAGUUUCCGACGUUCAGAUCGAUGCAACUUGUGGCAUUCAGGCCAAGUUUCCGGUAUUCAUACCGAAGUGGCAUUCAGGCCAGUUUUCCGAUGUUCAUAUCGAAGAAGUUUCCGACAUUCAGGUCGAUGCAACUUGUGGCAUUCAGGCCAGUUUUCCGGUAUUCAGACUGAAGUGGCAUUCAUGCCAGUUUUCCGAUGUUCAGAUCGAAGAAGUUUCCGACAUUCAGGUCGAUGUAACUUGUGGCAUUCAGGGCAGUUUUCUGGUAUUCAGACCGAAGUGGCACUCAGGCCAGUUUCCCGGUGUUCAGACCGAUGUUUGAUAAUCAAGUAUCGUCCGAUGCUCAGAUCGAAGUCAUUUCCAGUAUUCAGAUUGAUGAGCGGCAUUCAGGCCAUGGUUAUUUCUGUNAAAAAAAAAAAAAAAAAAAAAAAGGGGGAAAAAAAAAAAAGGAGGGGGGAAAAAUUUACAGUUUUAAAAAAAAAUUUUCUUUCCCCACGUUCUGACGCGUAAUGGAAAUUAUUGUAUCUCCAUUGCGCUCUUUUUUGGGUUUGCUGUCCCCCAGUUGAAGUAAGAUUUCGUUUGUUCCCGUUUUGGUGGGAUUCGAAUGUCCAUCCUGUAAGUCGAUUUGCUUUUUCCAAGCUCUCCUUUCGGAUUGCAUGAGUGGUUUUUGGCAUAUAUACCAAAUUCACGUCUUUUGGGUUAGUCACCUAUUAUAUACUCCGGUAUCUCUGGUCUGUUUCUUCCUUUUUUCGAGUAUAUUAUUCACGGUCUUGCCGGUAAUGAAUAAUAUGUCUCAUGCUCUUGGUCAAUCUUGCUUGAUUUGUUUCCUCUGCAGAGUAAGAUUCAUAUUCCUUGUGGAAUUGGAAUAUCCAUCCUAUAAACAAGUUCUGCUUUUCUAGCUUCCUUCUAGGAUGAUGAGUGUCCUUGGCACUAUAUACCAAUCACGUUCGGUCGGUCACCUAUUAUAUUACCUCGGUAUCCGCUUGGUUUCCUUCCUUUCUGCUCCCUAUUAUGACUCGGUCCCCUGUGCGAGUCAGAUUUGCCUGAGUUUUAUGUACCUUUUUCAGGUCUUCCUCACGAUGUUUGGGAUUGAUUGAUAUCUCUCACCCUUAUACCGUUCUUAGAUAUUCAUUCUUCCUCCUGAGUUUGUUGCCCUUAUACCGGUGACAUCUCAUCUCGGUUUCCCCUGAAAAGUCUUUUCUAGAUUUCCCAAGCGGAGUUGUUUAUUGCUAUUGUUGUGUUGCUGUAUGGCGUUUUCCCCCAGUACAUGCAUUGUGUGAGUUAGCUUGAGUCAUCCUAUGGAUUGUGUUUCCCCUGAAUUUCGUUCUCCCUCCAGUUCGAACGUCCUUUGCUUCGCCCCAGUGAGGGUCUGCGCAGUCUGAAUUCUGUUUCCCUUAAUCAGAGUCGUGUCUUGCCACAGUUGUGUUCAGUUUUUGUUUUUUUCCCCAACUCGAAGUCGUGCUCCUGCCACGCAUUUCUUUUUCUUUUAUUCCCCAAAUAAGAGAGUCCUUGUUAGAGUCUCUGUUCCUGGUUGAGUGUAUUACUCCGAUGGAUCGUACUUUUCUUCUGUGUUUGAAUUAUAUCCUCACAGAGUUUGUGUCUUUUAGCAUGCAUACAUUUGCAUCAAUGAGGUUCUCUUAGGACCAAAAUUUGUGUCUCAUACUGUAUUUAAGUCCAUUCCUAAUCCGCGUCGAGAUGAAAGAUUUCUAAACUUCACUUCUCGGAUAGAAUGACCUUAAAUAGGGCAUCUGUAUAAGACCCCAAUUGGCCACUAAAUCCCUCAUUGGCCCAUAACAUCUCAUUCAUGCGACCUCAAGGAUCAUGGCAUACCAUUGCUUCCCUCACUAGUGGGUGAGUUUAUCUGUGAGUGUGUGUUCUUGAUCACCAAGCAUUGUUAUUGCAACUUGUAUAUUCAUUGCUUUUCAUAUGUUUUACUAACUCAAAUACAAAAUAUUGUCAUCUAGCGACGGAAUACACCGCUACAAAAAAGCACCCUCACAGUUGUUCACGAGUCUGAAGAUGUUCUUAUCACCCCAUUGAAUAUAGCAUUCAUUGCUUUUAAGUUUCCAAGGGCUAGUUUCAUCCCUUCCUUGUGGUCCCAUUCUUCCUCAGCCAUCUUAAUAAGUUGUAACUUCUCCUCUCCAUAGUAAUAACGUGAUGUUUCCCAGCCUAUUAGAACAACUUCCAACCGCCUUAUUAUCCAAAGAUUUAGAAGGCUACCAUUCGAGGUUUCAAGUAAUAAGUCAUAGUUAGAUCCAUUUCCAGAUUGCGUGGUCUGUGAAAUAGAUCCUUUUCUCUAUUCCAUAGUCCCAGAAAGUAACAUCCCAAGAUCUCACCCAGAACCAGAGCAGGAUGCGCUUCUCGUAAACAAAUUGAAAUUCCUGGUAUUAGAUAUGAUGUUCGAAGGUAAUGUCACGACACUAAUAUCUGAACAAUAUAACAGGAUAAAGUAAAGAAACAAUAGUACAAAAAACAGUUGUAAUACCCCAAAAAUUACCCUUCAUUUUUUCCUGAAGCAUGGGAUUUGUUUACACUUCAUUAGCAUCAUAUUAGGUCAUACCAUUGCAUAUCUGGAAACAUUAGUUACAUGGAGAUCAGGUUUUUGAUCAUCAACUCCCUAACAGAAGGGUCCAUUGAGAUUGGACUUCAUAUUCCAAGUAUAUAAGUUUCAAGGGUCUCAGGGGGCUCCAAGUAUCUUAUUAUGGUCGCUAGUUCAUCCAGUGGAAGGAUUCAAAGCUAUCAGAGUGGUUCAUAUGGAUUUUAAUCAGAAAUUAGGGUUUCAUGGCUACCUGCAACAGGCAAUAUUGGUUGGAAAGUAGAGGAGCUCAUCCAGGUCAAUGAUUAUAGAGGCAUCUUGGCGCAAUAGGCAAGAUUCACAAUUAAUCUUCAGGAAAGACCCAUUUGGCAAUCAGUGCAAUCAGUUCCUGAUCAUUUUGCCCUAAAACUAGGUUGUUUGGUAUAAAGUCAGUAUUUCUGAUUCUUUGGGUGAACUCUUUUCCAUGGCCCUCAUAUGUCCACAAGGGUCUACCAUACAAAAAAUAGUCUUUAUUUGAGCUAGAAGUGCUUCAAUUGAUCAAUGGAAUCGGGGAAUCAGACAGUUUUUGGUGAAAAGUCAACUGUGGGGCCAGAAAAGUCACUGUGGGCAGAAAGUUAACUCCUGACAUUUUGGAGAGUGGAAUCUCAAAAUCCACGCCUAGGCGAUGCCUACAUCGUGAAAUUUGAUCACAACUCUUCCCCUUAUCGUCCUAGAUGAACGGUGCUGUUGAGGCAGCAAAUAAGAACAUAAAGAAGCAGUUGUGUAGAGAUGGUCGUUACGUACAAAGGAUGGCAUGAGAUGCUACCCUUUCGCCUUGCAUGGGUACCGUAUCUUUCAGUACGUACAGUCGACGCGGGGAAACCCCUUACUCCCUUGUGUAUUGGUAUGGAAGCAGUCCUACCUGUUGAAGUGGAAUGAUUCCUUCUCUAAGAAAGUCCUGCUGGAUGUCAAGUUAGACGAAGCUGAAUGGGUUCGAACAAGGUUCAAUGAGUGAGUCUUAUCCGAAGAGAAGCUGAAUGGAAAGCCAUUUGUCAUGGGCAGCUGUAUCAAGUCGGAUGAAGAGAGCCUUUGAUCAGAGAAGUGCAUCCUCGAUGCUUCCAAGUCGGAGAUUUGCGUGUUGAAAAGGAUCCUCCUCCUUAGACAUAUGCACAGGGGCAAGUGGACUCUAAUUAAUGGAUGGACCGUAAUAUUGUCACCCAAGGUUUUUGAUGGUGGAGCCUUAAUGCUUGUCACUAUGGAUGGUGAAAACUUCACUUCCCCUGUGGAACUCAGACGAGCAGUAUAAAAAAUACUUCGCAUAAAUAGACCGACUGGAACGAUUAAAAAGAAUAGUCCUAGGCAAAUAAAUGGGCAUCCCGGCGAACCAAGAAAAUGAAAAAAAGGUUCAGGAAAAAGUUUAGGGAUUAAAAAAUGGAAAAGAUUGUAACACCCGUAGUUGAAAACCUGGAAAGGGCAAACUUUAGGCAAAAGGGUAUCCCAGUGGAUUGAAAACCCGAAAGGGCGAUCCAGGGGAAAAAAGUUAGGGAUAAGCGAAUGGUUGCAUUCUGAGUAAGUUCUGAAUAUCAAUCUCGUGUCGAUAAACCGGAAACUUCCGAAGGAUAUGGAAACAGUCCAUCACCUUAUUUUUCGAAAGCCUGAUCAAUCUGGAGGAUCUGAAACGAGCGAAUCAUAGCAGCAAUGGAACCCGAUAGAAAUCCAUUUCACAUUGCCCAUUAGAUUAAUUUUUGUUUUUAUCUUUGUGCAAUUACCUCUUUCCUCAGGGAAUUACUUCCUGAUUAAAUACCUAUUCAGAGGCACUCAAUCAUUAAAAUCAAACGUUAUUCCAGUUACACCUGCGGUGUUCAUUUUUCAUUUUUACUGUUUUGUUUGCAAAUGAAACGUCCGAAUUUUUGAUAAACAUUGCCAUCACUGAACAUUAAAGAGCCUUUACAGGUACGUGCCUUAAUAAACAAUUGAAAAUUGCUGUAAAUUUUUAAGUGCUUUGGAUCGUCUAUCACGAAACAGGUACAACUCGGGGCAUUUCCUUAAGGGUCCCAUCAAUGAAUCGCUGGAAUAGUUUUUCCUCAACAGUUGGAAUUUGGAUCUUAUCCCUUUGCACCCCAGCUGGUCCGAGCGUUGGAAAUCUUCAUCCACUAGGCAGGCUCUCACUGCUAUAUCCCAAGCAUUUGUUUCAGAUAUUAACGUUCACCAGUAGAGUCGAUAGUGUCAGACUGAUAUCCCCAGCGGAAGUUGACAUGUCAGACUGAUUAUCGCCCAACGGAGUUGAAAGUGACAGACUGUAUCUUUCGCACCAAAAGCGCGUGCUCCUAAGAUUUGAUGCCAGAUCGAUGAUCUCGACCCUAGGACCCAAGAUCUCUUUUCCUUAAGCAGAAUCUUCGGUACCGUAUCGGUGUUUGCUCUCCCUGCUGAGUUCCGUCUCCUUCUGCAGAUUACGGUUGCCAUAAAAAAGAAGACCACUGUCGCUUUCCUCAACAGCAAAUUUUUCCAGUGGCAUUCUCUCCCAGUCAGAGCCUCAAUAUUUUGGUUAUUUUUCCAGAACACCGAUGUGGCAGUCAUUUCCCCACAGAGUUCUUUGUGUUGUGCAUUACUCAACCCAGCUUGCCAGGGUCCAGAAGAUGUGAUCAUUUCCCUGUUCCCAGCAGAAUUCCUUGCCUCAGCUUUGGCUUUCUCUCUAAUCAAAAUUUUCGUUUAUCCCUGUAUGUAGAAAUCAUAUUGCCAUUGCAUCCUCCAGCAAAUUGCGUUAGCAUUUCCAUUUUUCAUGGAGGCCAUGACGCAUUGAAAAAUUCAAACAUACGCAUGUAAAGCAUAAGGCAUUCUCGGUACUCCCAAGUGAUAAGCCAGAAGAUUGUUUCCAGUACUAAACGUGAAGAUUGUUCAUGACUUAUCUAUAUUAUUCCAGCAGGGGUCUUUGGCCCACGUCGCCGCCUCAAUUAUCAUUUUCCCUAUUUUGCCGAUGCUGACAGGGUAUUAAAAGUUCUCCAGUAUUCAGACCGAAGUGCAUUCAGGCUAAGUUUCCGAUGUUCAGAUCGAAGAAGUUUCCUGAAGUUCAGGUCGACGCAACUUGUGGCAAUUUAGGCCAAAGUUUCCGUAUUCAGGACGAAGUUGGCAUUCAGGCCAGUUUUCGAUGUUCAGAUUCGAAGCAGUUUCCCGACGUUCAGAUCGAUGCACAACUUGUGGCAAUUCAGGCACAAGUUUUCCGGUAUUAGGUGUCAUCACCAAUUUCGAGUCAGAAAGAGUUGAGCACUAUUCAUGUGGCUUACAGCUUAGUGUUCUUCAAGGGAUCGAGUACACAUCAUUGGGAUCCUAGAGCAGCUACAAGUUUUUGCAUCGCGAUUACGAUAUCUAGGAGCUCGAUGUCACUUGUGGCAGAGAUUGUCUAAUUCUAGAGCACUCAGUCCUUCGGCUAGAGCUGUGGUAUUCAGACCGAAAGUGGCCAUAUCCAGAUUGCUGUCAGUGCUUGUCCGAUGUUUUAUCAGAUCAGGAUUAGCCGAGUUUCAGGCGAGCAUCACGCCGUCAGAUGUUAGAACUUGACUGAGCGGAUUUCUCUAGGAUUGUCCAGUUAUUCUCUGAGUUACUAUGUCGAAAUUUGGUAUUCGGCGAAGUGCACCAUUGCAGUUUCCCGGUGUUAGACACGCGCAUGUUUUGAUGCAUACCAACUACAGCCGAUGGACGUCAGAUCCAAGUCAUCGUAGUAAUUCUUCAUCUGAUGGAGCACCAUCAGCCAAUUGGUCCUCGAAUUUCUGGUUACAGUCCUUUAUUUCUUUCGUGUUAUUCAGGCUCCUUAACAUUUCCUUGUAUUCAAUGUUGAACUUCGUAAAUGUGCCAAGUGUACUCCUUUUACACCGAUAUCCAGACGUAAUUCUAUAUGUUUCAAUACCACUCAUGCGCAGUUUGUACACGGUUGAUAACCUCAUUUAUUUUAGCAUCAGGAAAUUUCAGGCUUCUUCAAUCGAUAUGGCAAUCUUGAUAUUCGCCAGUUCUCGGUCAAAACGUGCCAAUUUCAUAUGAUCUUUAAGAUGCUUUAAUGCGAUUUCAGUGCAGUUACCACCUUCACCUUGACGCUAUCAACAGACUUUUCCCAGAUAUUUACAGGGAUUGCAAGAUUAUCCCCGCUCUCUCCCCUCGAUGCGACCUUACGUGUAUCGAUGUCAGUACUCUGUCAGAGCUAUUCCAGGCAAAGUUUAUACUCUGGUCCAAUUCAUCCGAAUGAUUGCUAUUCGAGACAUGUAUUUCCGAGAUGUCUCUUUAUCAAGAAUUUCGACUUCACGUACGAUGAAUUCGAUUCAAGUCCAAAAGUUUGCCUCGGCUACACUUCAGACUCACACACAGAAGGCAUUCAGACGCGUUUUUCCAUGUCAGACUAGAGUUCCGGACAUUCAGGUCGAUGUACUUGUUGGCAUUCAGGGCAGUUUUCUGGUAUUUCAGACCUCGGAAGUGGCACUCAAGGCCAGUUUCCCAGCGUGUUCAGACCGAUGUUUGAGUAAUCAAGUAUGUCCGAUGCUCAGAAUCGAAGUCACUUUCCAGUAUUCAGAUUGAUGGAGUCGCAUUCUAGAGCCAUGGUUACUUUCUGGUCAGUACGAUUUAUUUUGGUAAUUCAAGCGGUCUAACAACUUCUUGUUUUCGGUGUUACACACCGAGCUCUCAGCCUACCAGCGUACCAGAGCAAUUCUUUUCAAGACCACCAUUGAACCUAUGGCCGAUCUGCCAGCCAUUGUAACUUCAUUUUUUUCACCUCAGUGUAAGUUUUUCCGGGGCUUUUAUGUAGAUUGAUUCAAUCCUUGAUACCUUCGAAAGUUGAGAAAAACCGUUGCUAUCUUCCUUUCGGUGUCUUCCAGUUUUAUUGAAUCAAGGGCAGCUGUAAUACCCCCAAAAUUUACCCUUUCAUUUUUCUUGGAAGCGAUAGGGAUUUAUGUUUUUACACUUCAAUUAGCGGAAUCAUAUUAGGUCAUACUCAAUUGCAUACUGCAUUACGUGGACACGGAGAUCAGGUUUUGAUCGAUCCUUGCCUUAACAGAAGGCAGCCCUACACAACGCAAGAUGAAAUUGGACUUCAUUUUUCCAAGUAUACAUAGUUUCAGGGUCUCAGGGGGCUCAAGUAUCUUAUUAUGGUCCUCAGUUCAUUAGUGAAGGAUUCAAAGCUAUCAGAGUGUUCAUCUGGAUUUAAUCAGAAAUUAGGGUUUCAUGGCUACCUGCAACAGGCAAUGUUUGGUUGGAAGUAGAGCAGCUUAUCCAGGUCAUGAUUAGAGAGGAAUCUUGGCCUAGGAGGAUUCACAAUUAUCUUAGAAAGACCCAUUGGCAAUCAGUGCAAUCAGUUCUUGAUCAUUUUGCCCUAAAACUAGGGUUUGGUAUAAAAUUAGUUUAUUUCUGAUUCUUUGGUGAAACUCUUUUCCAUGGCCCUCCAUAUGUCCACAAGGGUCUACAUACAAAAAAUCAGCUCUUUAUUUGAGCUAGAAGUGCUUAAAUUGAUCCAUGGAAUCGGGAAUCAGACAGUUUGGGAAAAGUCAACUGUGGGGCCAGAAAAGUCAACUCCUGACAUUUUCAGAGUGGAAUCUCAAAAUCCACGCCUAGGGGAUCCUACAUGUGAAAUUUGAUCAAGGUUGGAUCAUGGAUUCAUCAUUUAAUCAGGAAUUGGAAAAGUUACUUAAUUUGGAAAUGGUUGACUUUCCAAUAGGGGAUCCUACAUGUGAAAUUUGAUCAAGGUUGGAUCAUGGAUUCAUCAUUUAAUCAGGAAUUGGAAAAGUUACUUAAUUUGGAAAUGGUUGACUUUCCAUUUAGGGCAAGUUUUCAUGAUUGUUGCCCUCACUUUAAGCCCAUUUUCCAUCAAGAUAAAAUCUCCAUUUGAAAAUUUCUCCAACAUGAAAGUUGUUCCUCUUGUCCCAAGCUUUCUAGAGAUAUAAAGUUUUCUCCAUUUAGAUCAAAAUUGAGAAAGUUAUGCUUAGUCAAAGUGAGACAUUUUUUUAGGACACUUGGAAAAAUUUCUAAGUCCAAAAUCUUAAAAAUUUGUCAAGAAUUCUUGGCCAGUUUUCUUGCACUUCAAGGAAUUAUUUGAAAAUACUUUAUUCACAUCAAUUGUACCUUUCCAUGUCCUCUUUCACAUCCUUUUAGAAUCAUCUCAUUUGGAUCCAUGGUUUGAGAGAUACAUUCAUUUAAAGUGGGCACCAUGACUUGAUUUUCUAGGCAGAUUUUGGGCCUGGUUGGCCCAAUCAUAUUUUCUAAGCAUGCUGCACAAACCAGUCACAUUUUUUUUACCUCUUUUGGCCAUGCAUUGGACAUCCAUUCACUUAAGUUUGGCCCAAAAUAACAACAUUUUACACCUCACUUCACACUUUUAUUCUUAUGGAUAAAUCACUUAUUAAAAANAAAAAAAAAAAAAAAAAAAAAAAGGGGGAAAAAAAAAAAAGGAGGGGGGAAAAAUUUACAGUUUUAAAAAAAAAUUUUCUUUCCCCACGUUUCUGACGUAAUGGAAAUUAUUGUAUCUCCAUGUGCUCUUUUUUUGGGUUUUGUGUCCCCCCAGUUUGAAGUUUUAAAGAAUUUCGUUUUGUCCCCGUUUUUGGUGGGAUUCGAAUGUCCAUCCUGUAAGUCGAUUUGCGCUUUUUCCAAAGCUCUCCUUUCGAUGAUGAGUGGUUUUUUGGCAUAUAUAACCAAAUUCACCAGUCUUUUGGGUUAGUCAACCUAUUAUAUACUUCCGGUAUCUCUGGUGUUUUUCUUCUUUUCGAGUAUAUUAUUCACGGUCUGGCCGGUAAUGAAUAAUAUGUCUCAUGCUCUUGGGUCAAUCUUGCUUCUGAUUUGUUUUCCUCUGCAGAGUAAAGAUUAUAUUCCUUGUGGAAUUGAAUAUCCAUCCUAUAAACAAGUUCCUGGCUUUUCUAGCUUCCCUUCAGGAUGAUGAGUGUCCUUGGCAUAUAUAUCCAAUUUCACGUUCGGUCGUCACCUAUUAUAUUCCUCGGUAUCCGCUGGUUUCCUUCCUUUCCUGCUCCCUAUUAUGACUCGGUCCUGUGGAGUCAGAUUUGCCUGAGUUUUAUGUACCUUUUUGCAAGUCUUCCCCCGAUGUUUGGGGAUUGAUUGAUAUCUCUCACCCUUAUACGUCUUAGAUAUUCAUUCUUUCCUCCUGAGUUUGUUGCCCUUAUACCGGUGACAUUCAUCUCGGUUUCCCUGAAAAAGUCUUUUCUAUGAUUUCCCAAGCGGAGUUGUUUAUUGCUAUUGUGUGUUUGCCUGUAUGGCUUUUCCCGCCCAGUCCAUGCAUUGUGUGAGUUAGCUUGAGUCAUUCCAUGGAUUGUGUUUCCCCUGAAUUUCGUUCUCCUCCAGUUCGCGUCCUUUGCUUCCCCCCAGUGAAGGUCUGCGCAGUCUGAUUUCUGUUUCCCUAAUCAGAGUUCGUGUCUUGCACGUUGUGUUCAGUUUUUGUUUUUUUCCCCAACUCGAAGUCGUGUCCUGCCACGGCAUUUCUUUUUCUUUUAUUAUCCCCAAUAGGAGUCCUGUUAGAGUCUCUGUUCCUGUGAGUGUAUUACUCCGAUGGAUCGUCUUUUUCUUCUGUGUGAAUUAUAUCCUCACAGAGUUUGUGUCUUUUUAGCAUGCAUACAUUUGCAUCAAUGAGGUUCUCUUAGGGACCAAAUUUGUCUCAUUACUGUUAUUUAAGUCCAUUCCUAAUCGCGCGUCGAGAUGAAAAGAAUUUCUAAACUUCACUUCUUCGGAUAGAAUGACCCUUAAAUAGGGCAUCUGUAAGACCCCAAUUUUGGCCAGCUAAGAUCCCUCAUGCCCCAUAACAUCUCAUAUCAUGGCCUCAAGGAUGCAUUGGCAUAACCAUUGCUUCCCUCACCUAGUGGGUGAGUUUAUCCUUGUGAGUGUGGUUCUUGAUCACCAAGCAUGUAUUGCAACUUGUAUAUUCAUUGCUUUUUCAUAUGUUUUACUACGUCAAAAGUACAAAAUAUUGUCAUCUAGCGACGAAUACACCGCUACAAAAAAAAAGAGCACACCUCACAGUUGUUCACGAGUCUGAAGAUGUUCUUAUCACCCGCAUUGAAAAUAUAGCAUUCAUUGCUUUUAGAGUUUCCAAGGCUAGUUUUCAUCCCUUCCUUUGGUCCCCAUUCUUUCCUCAGCCAUCUUAAUCAAGUUGUAACUUCUCCUUGCCAUAGUAAUAACGUGAUGUUCCCAGCGCUAUUAGAACAACUUCCACCGCCUUAUUAUCCAACAGAUUUUAGAAGGCUACCAUUCGAGGUUUUCAAGUAGGUCAUAGUUAGAUGCAUCCAGAAUUGGUGGUCUGUGAAAUAGAUCCUUUUCUCUAUCCAUAGUCCAGAAAGUAAACAUCCAAGAUCUCACCCAGAACCAGAGCAGGAUGCGCUUCUCGUAAACCAUUGGAAAUUCUGGUAUUAGAUAUGAGAUUCGAAGGUAAUGUCACGACAGCUAAUAUCUGAACAAUAUAAACAGGAUACAAAAGUAAAGAAACAAUAGUAAACAAGUGUAAUACCCCAAAAAUUUACCCUUCAUUUUUUCCUGGAAGCAUUGGGAUUUGUUUUACACUGUUCAUUAGCACAUAUUAGUCAUAGCUCAUUGCAUAUCUGGUAAAAAACAUUAGUUACAUGGAGAUUCAGGUUUUUUGAUCGAUUUCAAACAUCCCUUAACAAGAAGGAGUCCAUUGAGAAUUGGACUUCAAUUCCAAGUAUAUAAGUUUUCCAGGGUCUCAGGGGGCUCCAAGUAUCUUAUUAUGGUCCUUAGUUCAUCCAGGGAAAGGAUUCAAAGCUAUCAGAGUGGUUCAUAACUGGAUUUUAAUCAGAAAAUUAGGGUUUCAUGGCUACUGCAACAGGCAAUAUUUGGGUUGGAAAGUAGAGAGCUCAUCCAGGUCAAUGAUUAUAGAGGCAUCUUGGCGCUAGGAAGAUUCCAAUUAAUCUUCAGAAAGACCCAUUUGGCCAUCAGUGCAUCAGUUCCUGAUCAUUUUGCCCUAAACUAGGGUUUGGUAUAAAGUCAGUAUUUCUGAUUCUUUGGGUGAACUGCUUUUCCAUGGCCCUCAUAUGUCCACAAGGGUCUACCAUACAAAAAAUAGCUCUUUAUUUGAGCUAGAAGUGCUUCAAUUGAUCAAAUGGAAUCGGGAAUCAGACAGGUUUUUUUGGUGAAAAGUCAACUGUGGGGCCAGAAAAGUCAACUGUGGGGCAGAAAAGUUUAACUCCUGACAUUUUGAGAGUGGAAUCUCAAAUCCACGCCUAGGCGAUGCCUACAUGUGAAAAUUUGAUCACAACUCUUCCCCUUAUCGUCCUGAUGAACGGUGCUGUUGAGGCAGCAAAUAAGAACAUAAAGAUAGAUUGUGUAGAAGAUGGUCGUUACGUACAAAGGAUGGCAUGAGAUGCUACCCUUUCGCCCUUGCAAUGGGUACGUAUCUUUCAGUACGUACAGUCGACCGGGGAAACCCUUAUCCCUUGUGUAUGGUAUGGAAGCAGUCCUACCUGUUGAAGUGGAAUGAUUCCUUCUCUAAGAGUCCUGCUGAAUGUCAAGUUAGACGAAGUCUGAAUGGGUUCGAACAAGUUCAAUGAGUUGAGUCUUAUCCGAAGAGAAGCGAAUGGAAAGCCAUUUUGUCAUGGGCAGCUGUAUCAAAGUCGGAUGAAAGAGAGCCUUUGAUCAGAAAGUGCAUCUCGAUGCUUCCAAGUCGGAGAUUUGGUGUUGAAAAGGAUCCUUCCUCUUAGACAUAUGCACAGGGGCAAGUGGACUCUAAUUAAUGGAUGGACCGUAAUAUUGUCACCCAAGGUUUUUGAAUGGUGGAGCCUUAAUGCUUGUCACUAUGAGAUGGUGAAAACUUUCACUUCCCCUGUGGAACUCAGACGGCAGUUUAAAAAAUACUUCGCAUAAAUAGACCCGACUGGAAAACGAUAAAAAGAAUAGUCCUAGGCCAAAUAAAUGGGCAUCGGCGAACCAAGAAAAUGAAAAAAGGUUCAGGAAAAAGUUAGGGAUUAAAAAUGGAAAAGAUUGUUAACACCCGGUAAGUUGAAAACGCUGAAAGGGCACUUUAGGCAAAAGGGUAUCCCAGUGGCUUGAAAACCCGAAAGGGCGAUCCAGGGGAAAAAAAGUUAGGGAUAAGGAAUGGGUUGCAUUCUGAGUAAAGUUCUGAAUAUCAUCUCGUGUCGAUAACCGGAAAUUCCGCAGGAUAUGGAAACAGUCCAUCACCUUUUUUUCGAAAGCCUGAUCAUCUGGAGGAUCUUGAAAGGAGCGAAUCAUAGCAGCAAUGGAACGCCGAUAGAAAUCCAUUUCACAUUGCCAUUAGAUUAAUUUUUUUGUUUUUAUCUGUUGUGCAAUUACUGCUCUUUUCCUCAGGGAAUUACUUCCUGAUGUAAAUACCUAUUCAGAGGCACUCAAUCAUUAAAAUCAAACGUUAUUGCAGUACACCUGCGGUGUUCAUUUUCAUUUUUACUGUUUUGUUGCAAACUGAAACGUCCGAAUUUUUGAUAAACAUUGCAUCCUGAAGCAUAAGAGCCUUUACAGGUACGUGCCUUAAUAAACAUUGAACAAUUGCUGUAAAUUUUAAGUGCUUUGGAUCGUCUAUUCACGACAGGUACAACUCGGGGCAUUUCCUUAAGGGUCCCGAUCAAUGAAUCCGCGAAAUAGUUUUUCCUCAACAGUUGGAAUUUGGUAUCUUAUCCUCUUUGCCCCCCCCGAGCUGGUCCCGAGCGUUGAAAUCUUCAAUCCCUAGGGCAGGCUCUACUGCUAUACUCCCAAGCAUUUGUUUCAGAUUAUAGUUCACCAGUAGAGUCGAUAGUGUCAGACUGAUAUCCGCCAGCGGAAGUUGACAUUGUCAGACUGAUAUCGCCCCAACGGAGUUGAAAGUGACAGACUGUAUCUUUCGCCACGCAAAAGCGCUGCUCCUAAGUUGAUGCCAGAUCGAUGAUCUCGACCGCUAGACCCACGAUCUUUUUUCCUUGAAAGCAGAAUCUUCGGUACGUAUCGGUGUUUGCUUCCCUGCUGAGUUUCCGUCUCUCUUCUGCAGAUUACGGUUGCCAUAAAAAAAAAAAAGAAAAGAACCACUGUCGCUUUCCUCAACAAGCAAUUUUUCAGUGGCAAUCUCUCCCCAGUCAGAGCUCAAUAUUUUGGUUAUUUUUCCAGACACCGUGUGGCAGUCAUUUCCCACAGAGUUCUUUGUGUUUGUGCAUACUCAACCCCAGCUUGCCAGGGUCCAGAAGAUGGUGAUCAUUUCCCUGUUCCGCAGCAAGAAUUCCUUGCCUCAGCUUUGGCGUUCUCUCUAAUCCCAAACAUUUUCGUAUCCCUGUAUGUAGAAUCAUAUUGCUUGCAUCCUCAGCAAAUUUGCGUAGCAUUUCAUUUUUCAUGGAGGCCAUGACGCAUUGAAAAAUUCAAACAUACGCAUGUAAAGCAUAAGGCAUUCUCGGUCUCCCAAGUGAUAAGCAGAAGUUGUUUCAGUAGCUAAACUGAAGAUUGUUCAUGACUUUAUCUUUAUAUUAUUCCCAGCAGGGGUCUUUGGCCACGCGCCGCCUCAAUUAUCAUUUUCCCUAUUUUGCCUGAUGCUGACAGGUAUAAAAGUUCCAGUAUUCAGACGAAGUGGGCAUUCAGGCUAAGUUUCCGAUGUUCAGAUCGAAGAAGUUUCCUGAAGUUCAGGUCGACGCAACUUGUGGCAAUUUAGGCCAAGUUCCGUAUUCAGACGAAGUGGGCAUUCAGGCCAGUUUUCGAUGUUUCAGAAUUCGAAGCAGUUUCCCGAGUUUCAGAUCGAUGCCAACUUGUGGCAAUUCAGGACAAGUUUUCCGGUAUUUUCAGACCCGCAGUGGCAUUCAGGCCAGUUUUUCCGAUGUUCAUAUCGAAGAAGUUUUCCCGACAUUCAGGUCGAUGCACUUGUGGCAUUUCAGGCCAGUUUUAACGGUAUUCAGACUGAAAGUGGCAUUCAGGCGCAGUUUUCCGAUGUCAGAUCGGAAGAAGUUUCCGACAUCAGGUCGAUGUUAACUUGUGGCAUUCUCAGGCCAGUUUUCCGGUAUUUCAGACGCGAGAGUGGCACUCAUUGCCAGUUUCCCGGUGUUCAGACCGAUGUUUUUGAUGAAUCAAUACGCCGAUGCUCAGAUCGAAGUCAUUUCGCAGUAAUUCAGUAUUGAUGAGCGGCAUUCAGGCCAAUGGUUAUUUCUGUGUUACCCAUUUAUUUUUUGGUAUUCAGGCUAACAUUCCUUGUUUCGGGUGUUUCACACGCGACUCUCACCGUACCAGACGAAUUCUUUUUCAAGACCACCUCUUGGCGCGAUUCUGUCACGGCAUUGUUACUUCAUUUUUUUAAGCUUCAGUGUAAAUUUCGGCUUUUAAUCGUAUUCAAUCCCUUGAUACCCUCGAAAGUGCCAAGUUUCCGAUUUUAGACUCGAAGUGGCAUUCAGGCCAGUUUUCCGAUGUUCAGAUUGAAGAAGUUUCCGACGUUCAGAUCGAUGCAACUUGUGGGCAUUCAGGCCAAAGUUUUCCGGUAUUCAUACCGAAGUGGCUAUUCAGGCCAGUUUUCCGGAUGUUCAUAUCGAAGAAGUUUCCGACAUUCAGGUCGGAUGCAACUUGUGGCAUUCAGGCCAGUUUUCCCGGUAUUCAGACUGAAGUGGCAUUCAUGCCAGUUUUUCCGAUGUUCAGACGAAGAAGUUUCCGACAUUUCAGGUCGAUGUAACUUGUGGCAUUCAGGGCAGUUUUCUGGUUUUCAGACCCGGAAGUGGCACUCAAGGCCAGUUUCCCAGGUGUUCAGACCGAUGUUUGAGUAAUCAAGUUAUGUCCGAUGCUCAGAUCGAAGUCCAUUUCCAGUAUUCAGAUUGAUGAGCGCAUUCAGGCCCAUGGUUAUUUCUGUGUUACGAUUUAUUUUGGUAAUUCAGGCUAACAUUCUUGUUUUUCGGUGUUCACACGACUCUCGCACCGGUACCAGAGCGAAUUCUUUUCAAGACCACCUCUUGGCCGAUCUGACAGGCCUUGUUAACUUCAUUUUUUUCACUUCAGUGUAAAUUUUCGGCUUUUAUUUGGAUUCAAUCCUUGAUACCUGUCGAAAGUGAGAAAACCGUUGCUAUCUUCCUUUCGGGUCUCCAGUUUUAUUGAAUAAGGGCAGCUGUAAUACCCCAAAAUUUAACCCUUUCAUUUUUUCUUGGAAGCAUGGAUUAUAUGUUUUAGCACUUCAUUAGCAUCAUAUUAGGUCAUACUCAAUUGCAUACUGCAUUACGUGGACACGGAGAUCAGGUUUUGAUCGAUCCUUGCCUUAACAGAAGGCAGCCCUACACAACGCAAGAUGAAAUUGGACUUCAUUUUUCCAAGUAUACAUAGUUUCAGGGUCUCAGGGGGCUCAAGUAUCUAUUAUGGUCCUCAAGUUCAAUUAGUGAAAGGAUUCAAAGCUAUCAGAGUGUUCAUCUGGAUUUUAAUCAGAAAUUAGGGUUUCAAUGGCUACCUGCAACAGCAAUGUUUGGUUGGAGUAGAGCAGCUUAUCAGGUCAAUGAUUAGAGAGGAAUCUUGGCCUAGGAGGAUUCACAUUAAUCUUAGAAAGACGCCAUUGGCAAUCUGUGCAAUCAGUUCUUGAUCAUUGUUUGCCCUAAAACUAGGGUUUGGGUAAUAAACAUUAGUUAAUUUUCUGAUUCUUUGGGUGAAACUCUUUUCCAAUUGCCCUGCCAUCAUGUCCACAAGGGUCUACAUACAAAAAAAUCACAGCUCUUGCUUUAUUUGAGCUAGAAGUGCUUAAAUUGAUCCAUGGAAUCGGGAAUUCAGACAGUUUGGGAAAGUCAACUGUGGGGCCAGAAAAGUCAACUCCUGACAUUUUCAGAGUGAAUCUCAAAAUCGCACGCCUAGGGGAUCCUACCAUGUGGAAAUUUGAUCAAGGCUUUUGGAUCAUGGAUCAUCAUUUAAUCAGGUAAUUGGGGAAAAGUUACUUAAUUUGGAAAUGGUUGACUUCCAUUUAGAGCAGAGUUUUCAAUGAUUGUUGCCUCACUUUAAGCCAUUUUCCAUGCAAGAUAAAAUCGCUCAUUUGAAAUUUCUCCAACAUGAAAGUUGUUUCCUCUUGUCGCCAAGCUUGCUAGAGAUAUAAAGUUUUCUCCAUUUAGAUCAAAAUUGAGAAGUAUGCUUAGUCAAAGUGGACGAUUUUUUUAGGACAACUUGGAAAAAAUUUUUCCUAAGUGCCAAAAUCUUAAAAAUUUGUCAGAAUUCUUUGGCCAGUUUUCUUGGCACUUCCAAGGAUUAUUUGAAAAUACUUUAUUCACAAUCAAUUGUACCUUUCCAUGUCGCUCCUUUCAUACAUCCUUUUAGAAUCAUCUCAUUUGGGAUGCCAUGGUUUUGAGACGAUACCAUUCAUUUAAAGUGGGGCACCGAUGAAUUUGAUUUUCUAGGCAGAUUUUUGGGCGCUGUUGGCCCCAAUCAUAUUUUCUAAGGCGAUGCUUGACAAACGCAGUCACAUUUUUUUAACCCUUCUUUGGCCAUGCAUUGGGACAUCCAUUCACUUAAGUUUGGCGCCAAGAAUAGAAACAGUUUUUUUUUUAAACAGACCUCACUUCACACUUUUAUUCUAUGGAUAAAUCACUUAUUAAAGAAGCCCAUGAGAAAACCUAAUCCACAGCUAUUUAGAAGCUGAAAACGCUAAGCCUAAAGGGGCAUUGGAAUUUUUCGUGCAAGGAGCAAAGCUUCAUCACAUAACAAGAUUUCCAAAUUCCACUUCUAUUUUUUUCAUUAAGGUAAUGCAUCUCUUCCUCUUCCAUGACCAUGUUUUGAUAUAUCUACGCUUGCUUACCAUGUUCAUCACCAUUAAUCCUUCCAUUUUCGUAUUUCUUUUUCUUAUUUAAAAUAUUUUCUUCGUCCAUAAAAUUACCCAAAAAUAAUUUUCACUUUUCUUAACAUUUUAUAUAAUUUUAUAUAAUUUUUAUUUUCGUAUUUUUUUUAAUUAAUAUUUUAUUUUAAUUAUUUAUUCUGAAUGGUCUAUUUUAACACACUUUUUUUUAUUGAUUUUAUUUUUAUGACUUAAAAUUAUUGUUAGCAUUUGAUUUUUGGGAUGAAGGUUGACCGCUGUCUCAUGGUCAACUUGACCUUUUCUUGGAAUUUUAUUUCAAAUUUCCAAUUUAUUUUGGAUUUAUUUUUGACCUAGUUUGGUUGGUUGACCUUUAAUUUGACUUCUAUUUUAUUUUAAUUAAUUCAUAUGUCAAUUUUCAUUAUUUUUAAAAUCGUUUUGGGGGAUCUUGAUUUCCUGACCCCAUCCUAUUUAUUUUAAUUUUUCAUAAUUUUCUUGAUUAAUUUACUAUUUAUUCUUGAUUUAUUUCUAACCUAGUCUUAUUAAUUGACUUUUGGUUUGACCUCGGUUUUAUUUUAAUUAAUUUAUGUACCAAAUAAUUUUCUUGAUUAAUUUACUAUUUAUUCUUGAUUUAUUUCUAACCUAGUCUUAUUAAUUGACUUUUGGUUUGACCUCGGUUUUAUUUUAAUUAAUUUAUGUACCAAUUUUCGUUAUUUUUAAAAUACUUUUGGGGGAUGAUGAUGUCCUGACCUCACCUUAUUUAGUUUAAUUUUUCAUAAUUUUCUUGAUUAAUUUGCUAUUUAUUUGUUAUUUUUUAAGUUGACUUGAAUUUUUAGUUGACUUCUUUAUGAUCGAUGUUUGACUUAGGGAUUACUUAGGGAAAUUGAAUAAAUCUUUUGAUCCUCCCUUGUUCAUAUCAUAAGCCAUGUAUUAGAGGCCUUUUACCUUGAUUUUAUUUGGUCCUUACCUUAUUUCCUGAUUAAAUUAUUCAGUGGACCCUUCGUGUGCAUAUUUUCAUCUGUUUGAUUCAUCUGUUACCUUUUAUACUUGUUUCUCUCAUUCAUGCUUUCUAUUGCUUGAUUAUUUAACAUGUUCAUACUCUCAUGCAUUGUUUAAAUGCUCCAUUAUUUUAUUCUUUGGUUUGAUUAUAAAUUUUUUAUUUAUCCGAUCUGAUUGAUAAUUGUUGCCUACUUGUAUGAUGUAUGAGGCAUAUAUUCUUAUUGUUUGUUUGCCAUGAACAAUCCCCAUUUCAUAAUAAUUUGUACUCCACUUCUGAACUGAGGCUUGAUAAAAUAAUUAUUAUUUAAUUUCUUUUUAUUUUCAGCCUGUUAGUACAAGUUAAUGAGAACGACAAUCCGGGAGACCAUUUCAUAAUGAAGUCUUCAACGUCGAGUAAUCAUUUUCAAAACUUAACAGAACCAGCACACAUUCAUCCAUCCUCUUGUAAGUCGAUUGCCUCAGGCAUCGCCAUCUACCUAUAAGUCGAUUGCCUCCGGCAUCGCCAUCUACCUUUAUCCGUAACUCCUCUCUGCGCUCCAUUCGUCGACUCUUGUUCUGUUUAGGGAGCACCCAUUAGGUAGAACCCUUUGUAUGAUAACAUAGGUAGAAUUCCCUUAUUCUUUGCAUGCUAACAUUAGGUAGAUGUUCCCCUUGGUAAAUCCUAACGCAUAGGUCCAUAUUGAAUGACAAUUCUAGGGCAGAGCUUCCCCACUUUAAGACCUUCUGUGUGCCUCCGAUCUUGUGGCAUGUCAGUCAGUUCUAUUGCAAAGAGGUAACUGCCUAAGACUCGAUUCAACGAGCUGUGACACCUACUGCUAGGACAUUGAACACAUUGCCAACCCUCCUUUGACACAGCUGGUGUCCUCCUUUGUAAGUCCAUGUUCAGAUGGCAAUCCUUAACCCCUAGUUAGCCGAACUACGUUUUGCUCUGAUUCUCAUUCCAGAUGAGAUACGUAGGCAUAAGACGCGACGUCUUACCGAGCACACUUCUCUUUAGCCCAUAGGUAGCCGAGCUACGAAGAUUCUGAUUCUCAUACUCAGAUGAGAUACGUAGGCAGUGGAUGUGACAUCCUUGCGAGUCAUUUUCUUUUAACCUUCCUUUUAGUAAAUAGUACUUCAGAUAUACCUACACCCUUUAGACUAGAACAACGCUUAUGAAAAGGGCUCCUUAGGGGUACCUAAGAUGUUGUGGGUGCUUAAUUCCUUCCCAUUGCAUAACCAACCCCCUUACCCAGAUCUCUGACAUUUUUACUAGUUUUUGAUUCGAUAAAACUUUUAGGUUUUUGUUCGCUUUCUAACCAUUCCUUUGGAUAAAUAGAAGUGUGGUGGCGACUCAACUUGUAUGGUUUACCUUGGAUUUAGUCAAUAUCUCUAAUGGUAACGAAUACCCCGCUACAGAAUCCUGUUGGCGUUGUCUAAUGUUGUGAAUGUGGUUUUUUAAUGUCUAGUUAUGACAAUGUAAUUCUUCCAUGGAGACACGUAUCUCCUCUAUGGCGUCAACAUCAUCGCUACCGCUAUUAUCUUCUGGCGUAAGGGAUGUUGUUAUCCUAUUAAUCAUAAUUAAAGUUGGAUACAUAUAUGAGUGAAUGGUAAUAAUAGGAAGUGUGAUGGUGAUAAAUAGGAUGUGGCCCAUGUUAAUUUUAUCGGGGUCCCAUGGUAGGCGCCACUAUACUUGUCAAAAAGUACAGGUGUGCGUGUUCCCCCUACAAGGGCACGUAGACUCAAAAGCCUUAAUAGGUUUAUAACACAAUAUGGUGGUUUGGAAUUGCCUAAGACGGAGAGUAACCCUGCACGAUCGUGUUUUAGAGGCAUUUAUGGGUCCUACUCAUGUGAGGUAAGAUACGUUGUUGAUGACCGGUGAGGCUUGAGAGCAAGCAUAUAAUUAUGGCCAAUCGUGGUAUUGUGACUUUAGUAAGCGUUAUGCUAUUUUAGGGUUUAAAUAAUGAGUAGUCUUUUCUCCUGCAUGGUACAUGUAGUUAAGAGGCUCUUUAGACCUAUGGUUUGGGUCUUCCUCAGUGGCGUUAACCGCUUCCCUCUUAUCAGAGAAGGUUAUUGACCACUUACGUCAUUAGAAAAGUGUGUUCAUGUUUUAGUUAGACCAGAGAUUAAUAUAUUUAGCUAUGAAGGUUUUUUUUUAGAUUUUUGUUUCUUAUGUUUUGUAAAAAUAGGCAUUUUUUAUUUUGAGGUCAUGUUGACAAUAUUUUUUUUGGUUUUAUCUCUAAUUCAUUGUUGGUUCUCUUGAUUUUGUGAGAAGGUGGAAAGUAAGGGAAAAAUAACUUAUAAUAAGGUUAGAUAGUGACUUCAAUUCAAUUUUUCUAUGUUUAAAUCAAUCUCUUGAGAAGAUACUUAUUUAGUAUUACAUAAUCUCUUAAGAAAUUAAAAAUUAAGUAUUACAUAUCACACAUUAAAGUCCUACUCAAAAUUUUGAACUUGCCAAUACUUAAUUUAUCUAUUACAUUACAUUACAUAUGCAAAGGUUGUUAUAUAGAAUAUAAGAAUCUAAUUACCUUGAACCAAAGCUUGUACAUACCAUGUAUCAUAUGAUAUUAUCCUACAAACAUACCCUUCUGAAAUAAUGAAUCAAAUUAUUCUUUCUUGACAAAACAAAACAACUUUUUUCCAACAUCUUUCAACAAUUUAUCUUGUUAUUACGCUCUUGUCUGAUGGACAGAGUGAAGAGGAGGCAAUGCUCAAUCUCAACUCUGUGAACAAGUUGAAGAUAUUGAGAUGUAGGGGUGGCAGGUUUUGCUAAUGUCAGGUUUGCAAUCAUUGAAAUUUGGGUCGAGUGAGUGACACAAGCCUCUGUUCGGUAUUAUGACAAUUGAUUUAUUUAAGAUGGCUAGUAUUUAGGAUUGUAUGGUAGACCCUACUAUCAAAUGGUUUAUGCCAUAGUUGUGCAUUUCAUUUAUGACAUGUUAGAAUAAAAUUUGAAUCUUAAUUAUGAUGUAUAUUUAGCCUGAAGUAAUUGAUUAUAAUCAUGAUGGUUUCAUUUUUCUUUUGAAAAG
rnacentral:lncRNA from 1 species